rnacentral:lncRNA from 10 species
AGCAUGUAAACAAAGAAAACCUGUGGUUACUCAUCAAAGUGUUUUAUUUUCAUUAAUUUUGUCAAAAUAUUUUAUUCAUGAAAUCAGUCAAUGACAAAGAAUUAGAAAAGUUAUAAAUUAAAAAUGAGAUCACAUUUCAAGCCAAAUAUUUUGUAUCUAGUGCAGUGUAAAGAAAUGAAUCCUGCUUUAUAUAGAUUUAUCUGUCCCUCCAUUGUUUUGUUUUUCCUUUAUUUCAUGAGAAUAAAUGUUUCAGCCCCUCUAAAAACAUAAUGUAAAUAGAGAGUUCAUCUUCCGAUUGCUUGUUAUUUGGAGCAUGAGUGACUGAGGUGGAUUCAAAUGCACCAUUGUGAACCAUGUGAAGAAAAGAGAGAGGACGGAGCUCUGGAGUAAGGACCAUCAGAAUGAUGGCCAGCAUGCUGAUGCUGGGUCUAGCUUACUGUUUACCAUGUAUUUGGAGCUCAACCAAUCUGAGUUAAAUAAAUGAAUACAUACAUCAAUGAAAAUAUGAGUAAAAAAACUCAAUUUUGGAAAUGCUACAGGUGAUGUGACUUCCAAAGUUCAUUCUCAGUGUUUUUCAAUGUUUCAUCUAUGAGAUUCUAAGGAGUCAAAGAUUUGGACUUCUAUAUGUCACAGGUAUUACAAAACUACAGGGAAAACAUAAUAUUUCUGUAAUCCUUGUCCUGAAGAGCCAAAAUUAAGAUUUGAUGUAACUUAGAAGAAUUUUGUCAUUAGCGCCAAUCAUCAUGUCAUAGAUUUAAUGUUAUGAUUUAUGAAAUAAAGAUUCACAGUUCAAGCUUUCAGUUGCCACAGAUCACAUUCACCAAAUAAUACCCACCUAUUAUAUUUUUCUUGAGACAAACAGAUUUUUAUUUUGUUCCCUAAACUCAUGGCCUCAUGGAAGAUGCCCCCUCAAAGACAGAUUGUGACCUUCAGAAGCAUUUUCCAAGACUUCAAUCUUAAACUAUCUUAAAAGAAUACAAAUUCAGGGGAAAAACAUAAAACCCAAACUUUAAACUCCAAAAUAACCUUCCACUCAGAAUCAAUAUCAUCCAUCAAAGGUGAAUUUCCUAAAGUUUACUUUAUGAUAGUUGUUUCUUUUUUUCUUCCCUUUAUUUUCACUGGUAUUUAUGGCUGUUUGAAAAUUUGCUAAGGAAGAACAUCUAGCUUGUUUAUGCCUAUAUUUUUAAUGAACAUUUGCAAUGCCACUUUUGAGAAUUUAGAAUGUUUAUAUCACCAUGAGUCAGAAUUAUUCGAUUACAUGAUACUGUUAUGGGCUGUAAGUUUGACUUUUGCUAUGCUCAGAUGUUCAAUGAAGGUAUGACCUAUUUAUUUCUAUCAUAUUGAUUUGACCUCUACAAUAAGAUCCCUAACCUCCAUUGAAAAAUGACAGGAGGAAAAACUGGAUCUUGUUUCUUUGACACUAAGUCUUUACUUGAAUGAUUCAGGUGAAAUGUUCAGUCUUUAGCAUUUUGGACCCUCCCGUUGCUCCUAUGCAAGUAUAUCCUUAGUAGUCCAGUCUGAAAAAGCAUCAGAGAAGAACUCUGCUUGGCCAACCUCAAUUCAUAUGCACCCUUUACAUAAAUAAAGUUGAGAUAAGGAAGUAGAAUUAUGUAGGCAUAUGAAAUGGCCCACUAGAAUCUCAUGAAUAAAAUAAGGGAAGAACCAUUUCUCAGAAGUCAAGAAAAGAAAAAGUGGAGUAAUUUGAGGAUUUCGAGCCAAUAUAUACACAUUAUAGUUGGGAUGUGGAAAGAGCAUUUGAAGUGGAAAUCAGUAGAGUAGAAAGCAGUUAGAGGGACAAACACAUCCUUAGGACUUAGAGAAGAAGAGUUAUUAGAGGGCCUGUUUCUGGCCUCUUGCUCUGGGGAAAUGUGUUAUUGUGCAGAUAGGAUUUAACUAAUUAACAAAGAGAGAGAGGAAGAGAUGAAGAAAGGAAGGAAGAAAGAAGAAAAAAGACUGGGCAGUAGUAUGAGCUCUGGAAGCA